rfam:Oryza sativa (indica cultivar-group) chromosome 3, whole genome shotgun sequence.
AAAAAAGCAAACCCUGAGUUUCUGUGUCCAACUUUAACUGUCCGUCUUAUAUAAAUUUUUUUAUAAUUCGUAUUUUUAUUGUUGUUAGAUGAUAAAACAUGAUUAAUAUUUUAUGCGUGACUUGUCUUUUUUAAUUUUUUUUCAUAAUUUUUUCAAAUAAGACGGACGGUCAAACGUUGGGCACGAAAACCAGGGUUUGUCUUUUU